rnacentral:tRNA from 1 species
GUUAAUGUAGCUUACAAUAAAGCGAGGCACUGAAAAUGCCUAGAUGAGUCAUGGACUCCAUAAACA